rnacentral:rRNA from 1 species
AUGACAUGCAUUUUGAAGACCAUGAGUUUGAGGUGGACGAGGAGGGUGAGGGCAUUGUCGACGCACCGAAAGGAAGAGCGGGCAAUUACACCAACGCCGAUGACAUCUUACUAUGUAAUACUUGGUUGCAAGUGUCGAGGGAUCCAUCCGUUGGAGGUGAUCAAAGUAGAGAUGCUUAUUGAAACCGGAUGA